CAGAGGCUCACAGUAACACACAUCUACAGCUCAGAGCACAGAGAACAUUAACACACACCUGAUCUGACCGUCAACAUGGAAAAACACCUGCUUCUCAUUUUAAUUCUGACUUCAGGUGUGAUGACUGCAGACCAGAUUAGACCAAAUAAAAAUGCUGUUGUCAUAAAGGAAGAUGAGACUGUGUCCCUCAGCUGCUCAUAUGACACAAGCAGCAGUUAUGUUAGACUUUAUUGGUACAGACAGUAUCCUAAUGAAGAGCUUAGCUAUUUAAUAUACAAGGCUGCAAGGUCGAGUGGUGGAGAUGGGAGCCCCUCUGAUCCUCGCUUCCAGUCAGCUACAUCACACACAUCCACUGAAUUUACUAUUAGGAGUGUAACUCUGUCAGAUUCAGCUCUCUAUUAUUGUGCUCUAAGAGUCGGGGCCCAGUGAUACAAAGUCAAUGUGAAGCUGUACAAAAACUCUAAUAAUUAUUUUCCUUUAAUGUCAAGCCACAUCAAACCCACAAUCUAGAAUUCUCAGAAUAUAAGGUGGAAACACCUGUGUGUGCUUACUGAAAGGGUAAUGAAAAGGAAACAUGAUGUCCUAGAAUACUUCAGAAAUUAAAGUACAUCACAACCAUUUUAAAAGAUCUGACUAAAUAUUACAUCAUCAUUUAAUAUCUCCUCGGCAAAGUCUCUUGUAUGAAGUC